CACCGCCCGUCGCUCCUACCGAUUGAAUGGUCCGGUGAAGUGUUCGGAUCGCGGCGACGGGGGCGGUUCGCCGCCCCCGACGACGCGAGAAGUCCAUUGAACCUUAUCAUUUAGAGGAAGGAGAAGUCGUAACAAGGUUUCCGUAGGUGAACCUGCGGAAG
rnacentral:rRNA from 1 species